rnacentral:rRNA from 1 species
UACGAACGCUGGCGGCGGGCUUAACACAUGCAAGUCGAACGGAAAGGCCCUGCUUGUGUGGGGUGCUCGAGUGGCGAACGGGUGAGUAACACGUGAGUAACCUGCCCUUUGCGUUGUGAUAACUUCAAGAAACUGGGGCUAAUACCUGAUAGGAGCUCCUGCUGCAUGGUGGGGGUUGGAAAGUUUCGGCGGUUGUGGGUGGACUGGCGGCUUAUCAGCUGGUGGGUGGGGUAGUGGCUUACCAAGGCUUUGGCGGGUAGCCGGCCUGAGAGGGUGAACGGGCACAUUGGGACUGAGAUACGGACCAGACGCCUACGGGAGACAGUAGUGGGGAAUAUUGAACAGUGGGCGGAAGCCUGAUGAAGAAACGUCGCGUGCGGGAUGAAGGCCAUCGGGUUGUAAACCGCUUUAGCCUGUGACGAAGCGUGAGUGACGGUAAUGGGUAAAGAAGCACCGGCUAACUACGUG